UGGGGAAUAUUGGACAAUGGAGGGAACUCUGAUCCAGCAAUUCUGUGUGUGUGAAGAAGGUUUUAUGACUGUACAACACUUUUAGUAGGGAAGAAAAAAAUGACGGUACCUACAGAAGAAGCAACGGCUACAUACGUGCCAGCAGCCGCGGUAAUACGUAUGGGGCGAGCGUUGUCCGGAAUUAUUGGGCGUAAAGGGUACGUAGGCGGUCUAUUAAGUCAGGUGUGAAAGAGUGAGGCUUAACCUCAUUAAGCACUUGAAACUGAUAGACUUGAGUGAAGGAGAGGAAAGUGGAAUUCCUAGUGUAGCGGUGAAAUGCGUAGAUAAUAGGAGGAAUAACGGUGGCGAAGGAGACUUUCUGGACUUUUACUGACGCUCAGGUACGAAAGAGUGGGGAGCAAAAAGG
rnacentral:rRNA from 1 species